rnacentral:rRNA from 1 species
AGUCGAGGGGUAUAUAGCAAUAUAUGAGACCGGCGCACGGGUGCGUAACGCGUAUGCAACCUACCUUUUACAGGGGAAUAGCCCAGAGAAAUUUGGAUUAAUGCCCCAUGGUAUAUUAGAGUGGCAUCACUUUAUUAUUAAAGUUCCAACGGUAAAAGAUGGGCAUGCGUCCUAUUAGCUGGAUGGUAAGGUAACGGCUUACCAUGGCUACGAUAGGUAGGGGUCCUGAGAGGGAGAUCCCCCACACUGGUACUGAGACACGGACCAGACUCCUACGGGAGGCAGCAGUGAGGAAUAUUGGACAAUGGGCGCAAGCCUGAUCCAGCCAUGCCGCGUGCAGGAAGAAGCAUCUAUGGUGUGUAAACUGCUUUUGUACGGGAAGAAACACCUCUACGUGUAGAGGCUUGACGGUACCGUAAGAAUAAGGAUCGGCUAACUCCGUGCCAGCAGCCGCGGUAAUACGGAGGAUCCAAGCGUUAUCCGGAAUCAUUGGGUUUAAAGGGUCCGUAGGCGGUUUGGUAAGUCAGUGGUGAAAGCCCUUCGCUCAACGGAGGAACGGCCAUUGAUACUGCCAGACUUGAAUUACUGGGAAGUAACUAGAAUAUGUAGUGUAGCGGUGAAAUGCUUAGAUAUUACAUGGAAUACCAAUUGCGAAGGCAGGUUACUACCGGUGGAUUGACGCUGAUG